CUUUGGGAACCAUGGAUUUGAUCCCCUGGUUCAGGAAAAUGCAUCAGUGGCUGCCUCCUAAGUGACCCAUGACAAGACAGUCCAAGAGUCAUCUCCCACCUAACUUUUCACCUUUCUUCUGGAGAUACAGUUAUAGGGUUAAGUAGGGCGAGGUCAGUGUGACUGUGCUGUGACAGGGGUUUCCACUUUUUUUGUUAAAUGCAGGGCUCAAAGUCUUUGCCUCUUUCUCCACACGCCCUCCAGGACCACCAGUCUUGGAAUGUCCCGCAGGUCUUUGUCUCCCUCUCAUUGCCUCCUUGGCACUCCCUUCCUUCCUUCUAUACCCUGUGUUGCUUGACAGCUCAGAGCUACUCUGUCCCUUGAACUUAUUAUCUUGCCACAGCCCAGUCUGGACCUCUUCAAGAACAGAACAUGACAUUUGUGCUCUGUUUUUGAUGUCGGUCACUGCUACAGCCAAAGUAUGUCUCAGCUUGGGUGUGAGCUUAUAGUGCUGUGGCUACUUGGCACUAAUUGUCCUGGUAGAAACACUUGCCACAGAUAUGAGAUGAUUCUGCUUUCACUUAGGAGACAUGUCGUGCACAGCUGUGGCUGGGGAAGAACUUGUGCACAUGCUGGUGUUUUGGAGUAGCAAAUAGGCAAAGGAAUUGCAACUGCUGAUUUGAUUGACACAGCUAAACAGGCCCUGUAAAAAGUUACACAAAGUUUAGAGAUCAACAUAAUGAAAAGUGCAAGAUGAUGUUAGGUCCACUGUGAGCUAAUGCUGAAUGGUAGCUGAGUUUUUUAGAAAUCGGGGGAGAUUAUAUAGCUAUUCACAUCAUUGAUAACCUCCAGCUUUCACUAGACCUGUGAAAAAAAGCUAGGUGCCCAGCAUAACUUUUUUCAUGGUUAGAUGUAAAUAAAAAUAAUGGUCUUAGUGAUAAGGAAAGUAAAUCUCCCGUGAGUAAUUCUCAACAAUUAUGUUGUUCUGUUUGUAAUAUUAACUUUUUUCCUUCAGAAUUGUGCAACCAGUGCUGAGACACUGGCAUUUGGAUCUUGCACUGAAGCACCCAUUCUCUUUUGCAAAACUUAGCUCACAUUUAAAAGUGGAUUUAUUUUGUUCUAGUACUGCAAUAAAUCAUCUUCCUCCAAACAUCAAAAAGCCAAUGCUUUUUAAAGAGCUAAGAGAAAUAUUUAUGACAGAUCAAACAAAGAAAAUACCUGGAGAUCAGAAAGUGAAAACAGCUCAUUUAAGAAUUUAUAGUGACAUAUUUUUUGUAUUUUUCUUGUUGUAUCAUGAAUAAUUUCUUACCCCUAAGGUGUGUGUGUUAGAAAGUUAUAUGUUCAUUUGGAGCCUUGGAGAAAAAUACAAAUCAUUCAAAGGUCCUUUGGGAGCUCUCCCAGGCCAGAUGGGAGUGGUAUCUUCCCAACUCCUUUAGACAUGGGGUAAAAUCAAGUACUCUGUACCAUAGCUAAAUCAAACACAGACUUCAAACAUUGUUUUAAAGCAGUCUGUAAUUUGAGACCACUAGCUGGACUGCACUCUGGAAGAGAGUAGAAGAAGAGUGUGACACAGUCACAUGUCAGUCUCAUCUCAAGGGGGACAAUGAAUUCCUCAAAAGCAAAGAUGGUGCUACUUCUUGCCAGUUGAAAUGUCAGAUACCAGUUUAACAGGAUGGUAGACCAGCAGAGUGAAAGGCUUACCAGGACAAAAUCUGGGCCAUUCAUGAAAUGCGGAUAAAGCCAGUGCCACAUAAUUUUGUUUCUUAGAGGAAUGCACUGCCACAAGGUAUGUUCAGUGCUGAGAAGGGUCUGAGAAGAGGUGUGACAGUCUGUGAAAUGCUACAAAGAUAAAAGAACCUGUCCCUACUUCUGUGUUAGAGGAAAAGAAGAAUGAUGAAACAUAAAUGAACACAGGUCACAGGAGAGCAAGCUGUAUGAAUAAAAUUGAGUGGAACAAGAAAUACCUGUCCAUGGCAGAGCUAAGGAUUCUAAUAUAGGAUGUGAGAACUACUGAUGAUGUGAGAACUCAGAGAAAGAUGUUAACUGUGUGAAUAGACUGAAAGACUAUCCCUUAGAAAGCAAUGUGGACUACAUGGCAAAAAGGAAUGUUAGCUUUUGAUCCAUCUGAUAUAAAUCAAGCUGUGAAUGAACUUGCCUAUUCUUCUACUAUGAAAUCCACUAUAUAAAUUGAAGAUGAAUGUUUGGAUCCAGCUACAUGAUCUGCCAUGGUAGAGCUGCAGGAUCUCUGACGUGCAGCAUUGUCUUCUCUUCACUGACUGCUCACUGUCCAAGUCACUUUGGCUUGCUCUUUCCAGCUCGCCAGUGAAUUUUUGCACUGCCUCAUGCAUCAAAUACGGCCUGUGAGCAUGCUGUAGGAAGGCAGGCGCCUUCAGGUUACUUCCUUCCUAUCCUGGGAUAUGUGUCAGCUUCGCACAGUAUACUUAACCAUCUUGAACACCUGGGAGUAUCAAAAUCUGAGAUAAAUAUAAGAUUAAAUUUGCAUCAAGACUAUUCAUAUAUAUGCAUAUGUAUGUGCAUGUCUGAGUAUUUGUAAAUAUAUACAUACAUGGUGAUGACU